ACGCUCGACACCUACUGGAGGCAGCAGUAGGGAAUCUUCCACAAUGGGCGCAAGCCUGAUGGAGCAACACCGCGUGAGUGAAGAAGGGUUUCGGCUCGUAAAGCUCUGUUGUUGGAGAAGAACGUGCGUGAGAGUAACUGUUCACGCAGUGACGGUAUCCAACCAGAAAGUCACGGCUAACUACGUGCCAGCACGCCGACGGUAAUCUGAGGCCGGGCGUGGACGAAGGC
rnacentral:rRNA from 1 species